rnacentral:lncRNA from 1 species
AAAAUUACACAUUUAGCAUUUAUUUAUCUCCCAAUAACCUCUGGCAGAUAUAAAUGAAUUUUAAGUUGUUUCUUUGGGAAAUCACAAACAGUAAGACAGCUUAUUCCUUCUCAUCUAACCAAGACUGGGAAGGGAAGAGGGGCUUUGAUCAGCUUUCCAAUGGAGGUAUAAAUUUGAGAAUUUAUUCCCAGGGAGAUGAUGCUAUAUGUUUAGCUCACAUCAGAAUCAGGUUUGAAAGAGUAGAAUAAGUUACACUGCCAGUUUUACUGAGUAAGGUAUUCAGAUGAAAAAAUAUGUAUAACUGAAGGAUUUAUAUUUUCUGAUGUCCACAUCAUAUAAUUUGGGGGCCAAAAUGAAACAGGAAGAUUUUAUUUACCUCUAAAAAUGGAUAUUGAGUAGAUGCGUAUGUAUCCCCUUUCCCGUUUUUAUCUUUUCUGUGUAGUCUCUAAUGAUGUAGAAUAAGGCUAUAUAAAUCCUCAGUAUCUUUAAUCAUGUCCAAGGGUCAGAUAAAAUUAUGUGCGUUUAAAG